AGAGUUUGAUCCUGGCUCAGAAUCAACGCUGGCGGCGUGCCUAACACAUGCAAGUCGAACGAGAAAGUGGAGCAAUCCAUGAGUAAAGUGGCGACCGGGUGAGUAACACGUGACUAACCUACCUUCGAGUGGGGGAUAACCUCGGGAAACCGAGGCUAAUACCGCAUAACAUCGCAAGAUCAAAGCAGCAAUGCGCUGGAAGAGGGGGUCGCGGCUGAUUAGCUAGUUGGCGGGGUAACGGCCCACCAAGGCGAAGAUCGGUAGCCGGCCUGAGAGGGCGCACGGCCACACUGGAACUGAAACACGGUCCAGACUCCUACGGGAGGCAGCAGUGGGGAAUUUUGCGCAAUGGGGGAAACCCUGACGCAGCAACGCCGCGUGGAGGAUGAAGCCCCUUGGGGCGUAAACUCCUUUCGACCAAGACGAUGAUGACGGUACUGGUGGAAGAAGCACCGGCUAACUCUGAGCCAGCAGCCGCGGUAAUACAGAGGGUGCGAGCGUUGUUCGGAAUUAUUGGGCGUAAAGGGCGCGUAGGCGGUGCGGUAAGUCACCUGUGAAAUCUCCGGGUUUAACUCGGAGCCUGCAGGCCAAACUGCCGUGCUGGAGUAUGGG
rnacentral:rRNA from 1 species